UGGGGAAUAUUGCACAAUGGAGGGAACUCUGAUGCAGCGACGCCGCGUGAGUGAUGAAGGACUUCGUUUCGUAAAACUCUGUUCUAUGGGAAGAAAAGGACUGUACCAUAGGAGAAAGCUCCGGCUAAAUACGUGCCAGCAGCCGCGGUAAUACGUAUGGAGCGAGCGUUGUCCGGAAUUAUUGGGCGUAAAGGGUGCGCAGGCGGCUUUACAAGUUGGAUGUGAAAUAUUGUGGCUCAACCACAAACGUGCAUCCAAAACUACAAAGCUUGAGUUAAGGAGAGGUAAGUGGAAUUCCUGGUGUAGCGGUGGAAUGCGUAGAUAUCAGGAGGAAUACCGGUGGCGAAGGCGACUUACUGGACUUAAACUGACGCUCAGGCACGAAAGCGUGGGGAGCAAACAGG
rnacentral:rRNA from 1 species